UGCGCACCCUGGUGGUGAUCCUACACCGACGGUGGCUGGAGGUCAGGGGGCAGGAGCGGCAGGAAGGACGGAGCACUCCGUGGGGGGGGCCCGGGGCCAACGUGCUGAAGGAGACGCUGAUGCUGCUGCACUGGCUGUCCCUGAACGAUGGCGCCUUCGCGGAGCACUGCCUGGACGUGCUGCACCUGUACGACCAGGUGGUCCCCGCCCUGCGCGACGGCUUCCGGAAGAUUCCUCAUCUCACUGAAAUCGAAGAAAUGGCCUUAGAUGAUAUGUGUCGCCCGGAAAGUGAAGAUUCCGAAGAUAUAGAUGUGGAUGGGGGGUCCUGAUACUGUACACAUCAUGCUGCUUGCGGAUCUGAUUAUUAUGGAUGUAUUAAUGUAACUGUAAAAUUUUUAUGGUUCUUAGAACUACUUUUGUAUGAUUAAAUGUUCAUUAGUGUCACCA